UUAACAAGAUCCCCUCCCCCUCUCUCUCUCUCUCUCUCUCGCUUUCUCUCUCCUUUAUGUGUACACAAGGAACCCCUCUUUAUCCGCCAUAUAUAAUAUAAGUUCUUCAUCACCACCACCGUUAAUCACCAUCCUCUUCGUCUAGUUCUUCCUCCAUUUUCAAGUAAUUAAUUACUUUGUGGCAUCAGUAUCAUGAUGCAACAAAGAUUUUGUGAAAGGUGCAUGUUACCGUCUACGUCGGCGUCGAUAUGAUCGAUCACGCGAUGGUCCCCACGCGUAACCUCAUACGGAGCCACCAUGGGAGCUAUUCGAGCUUCUCCGACGCCGCCCAGUUCGAAUUCCGGCAGGAGAAGCCCCCAUCAGUAUCGUCCCUGAUGGCCGACGAUACCAAGGACAAUAAAAAGGAGGAGGAAGAAGAAGAAGAAGAAGAUGAUGAUGAUGGUACUAGUUCUAAAGGAGGAGGAGGAGACGAUCAUGAAGGGUGGCUUCAAUUAGGAAUCGGCACCGCCGCCUCUGCAUCCGCCGAUCGAAACCCUACCAAUAUUGAUCGGGCUCAUCCCGUCGGCCCUACAAGUAGUUCGGCCCCCCGCCGCAGCCUAACGGAGCUUGACUUGUUCUCCGACAGACCGUCAUCGGCUGUGCGGCCUCGGAUGGCAGCAGCUGGUGGCCCGUCGUUGAUGAUCGCGCCGUUUCUGCCAGCAGCGGCGGCGGCGAGCGGUUUUACUUUAGGCUAUCAGAGAAAUAACCUUCUGGCGUGGGGGGUUCACGGUCGGUGCAUGGCCGGGGCAAGCUCGAGUACGCGGCGGCCACCGCCGCUGCCACAGCCGCUAGAGAGCGUAGGUCGGGUCGGCACCGAGGUGCGGGUGGUUAGUCCGGCACGGAGGCCGGAGAUCGGAGUAUGGUUGGAUCUUAAGGCAGCUCAAAACCAAGAAAAGGAACCUUUUUUGCCUCAGAUACAAAGGAGCUACCUAAGAAUCAAGGAUUGUAAUAUGACAAUAAGGGUGUUGAUGAGGUACUUGGCCACCAAGCUUGGGCUGGGGGAUGAAUCACAGGUGGAGAUAACAUGCAGAGGCCAACAACUCCCCCCCUUCUUGAUGCUUCAGUAUGUUAGAGACCACAUAUGGUGCCCGGCAGAGGUGGUUCAGUUGCUCCCAAACUCCCAAACCACAAAUCAUCUCAUGACCCUUCACUACAGCAGAAAAUAGAAUGCAGCACAAAAAAAAAAGAGAAAGAAACUCAAUUCUCUCUAAUUUAUUGGAAAGAAAACAACGAAGACGAAAAACAGAGUGAUCGGUCACCAAUUUCUGCCAAUGCUUUAGAUUCCAAAGAUGUACAGUGUAACCCCCUCGACCUCUUGAGCCUGAUAUUGUCCUAACCUUUGUAAUGCCAAUGGGCUUGACUAGCAUGUUUCUCUUCUAGUCUUAUCUUGUUUCC